ensembl:snRNA U6 U6 spliceosomal RNA
UUGCUUCAGCAGCACAUAUACUAAAAUUGGAACAAUACAGAGAAGACUAGCAUGGCUCCCAUGCAAGGAUGAUAUGCAAAUUCAUGAAGCAUCCCAUAUUUUU